UGGCCCAGGCCAACGAGAACCAGCGGGAGACCUACGAGCGCUGCCUGGACGAGGUCGCCAACCACGUGGUGCAGGCCCUGCUCAACCAGAAGGACCUGCGGGAGGAAUGCAUCAAGCUGAAGAAAAGGGUCUUCGACCUGGAGCGCCAGAACCAGGCGCUCAGCGACCUCUUCCAGCAGAAGCUGCAGC